GAUGAACGCUGGCGGCGUGCCUAAUACAUGCAAGUCGUGCGAACAGACGAGGAGCUUGCUCCUCUGACAUUAGCGGCGGUCGGGUGCGUAACACGUGGAUAACCUACCUAUAAGACUGGGAUAACUUCGGGAAACCGGAGCUAAUACCGGAUAAUAUAUUGAACCGCCUGGUCCAAUGGUGAAAGACGGUUUUGCUGUCACUUAUAGAUGGAUCCCCGGCGCAUUAGCUAGUUGGUAAGGUAAGCGCUUACCAAGGGCACGAUGCGUAGCCGACAUGAGAGGGUGAGCGGCCAGGCUGGAACUGGUGGACGGUCCAGACUCCUACGGGAGGCAGCAGUAGGGAAUCUUCCGGAAUGGGCGAAAGCAUGACGGAGCAACGCCGCGUGAGUGAUGGAGGUCUUCUGAUCGCAAAACGCUGUUAUUAGGGAAGAACAAAUGUGUAAGUAACGAUGAACGAAUUGACGGUACCUGAUCAGAAAGCCACGGCUAACUACGUG
rnacentral:rRNA from 1 species